ACCAUGCAAGUCGAACGGAGUGCUUCGGCACUUAGUGGCGGACGGGUGAGUANAGCGNUGAGAAUCUGCCUUCAGGACGGGGACAACGACUGGAAACGGUCGCUAACACCCGAUGAGCCGAGAGGUAAAAACUUUAGUGCCUGAAGAAGAGCUCGCGUCGGAUUAGCUAGUUGGUGAGGUAAGAGCUUACCAAGGCGACGAUCCGUAGCUGGUCUGAGAGGAUGAUCAGCCACACUGGGACUGAGACACGGCCCAGACUCCUACGGGAGGCAGCAGUGGGGAAUUUUCCGCAAUGGGCGCAAGCCUGACGGAGCAACGCCGCGUGCGGGAGGAAGGCCCUUGGGUUGUAAACCGCUUUUGUCAGGGAAGAAGCUCUGACGGUACCUGACGAAUCAGCAUCGGCUAACUCCGUGCCAGCAGCCGCGGUAAUACGGAGGAUGCAAGCGUUAUCCGGAAUCAUUGGGCGUAAAGCGUCCGCAGGUGGUUAAACAAGUCUGCAGUCAAAGCGUGGGGCUUAACUCCAUAUCGGCUGUGGAAACUGUUUGACUAGAGUACGGUAGGGGUCGCGGGAAUUCCCAGUGUAGCGGUGAAAUGCGUAGAUAUUGGGAGGAACACCAGCAGCGAAGGCGCGCGACUGGGCCGUAACUGACACUGAGGGACGAAAGCCAGGGGAGCGAAAGGGAUUAGAUACCCCUGUAGUCCUGGCUGUAAACGAUGGAUACUAGGUGUUGCACGUAUCGACCCGUGCAGUGCCGUAGCUAACGCGUUAAGUAUCCCGCCUGGGGAGUACGCACGCAAGUGUGAAACUCAAAGGAAUUGACGGGGGCCCGCACAAGCGGUGGAGUAUGUGGUUUAAUUCGAUGCAACGCG
rnacentral:rRNA from 1 species